rnacentral:pre_miRNA from 1 species
AGUUAUUCUUGCUGUUGUCUCAUCUUAGAUAUCGUUCUGCUUGAAGGAUGAGAUCAGUCAGAAUAACUCG